GACGAACGCUGGCGGCGUGCUUAACACAUGCAAGUCGAACGGAAAGGCCCUGCUUUUGUGGGGUGCUCGAGUGGCGAACGGGUGAGUAACACGUGAGUAACCUGCCCUUGACUUUGGGAUAACUUCAGGAAACUGGGGCUAAUACCGGAUAGGAGCUCCUGCUGCAUGGUGGGGGUUGGAAAGUUUCGGCGGUUGGGGAUGGACUCGCGGCAUAUCCGCUUGUUGGUGGGGUAGUGGCUUACCAAGGCUUUGACGGGUAGCCGGCCUGGGAGGGUGACCGGCCACAAUGGGACUGAGAUACGGCCCAGACUCCUACGGGAGGCAGCAGUGGGGAAUAUUGCACAAUGGGCGGAAGCCUGAUGCAGCAACGCCGCGUGCGGGAUGACGGCCUUCGGGUUGUAAACCGCUUUCGCCUGUGACGAAGCGUGAGUGACGGUAAUGGGUAAAGAAGCACCGGCUAACUACGUG
rnacentral:rRNA from 1 species